GGGCCAUUAGCUCAGUUGGCAGAGCACCUGACUUUUAAUCAGGGAGUCGAUGGUUCGAAUCCCCUAGGGGUCACCA
rnacentral:tRNA from 1 species